rnacentral:rRNA from 1 species
UGGGGAAUAUUGCACAAUGGGCGCAAGCCUGAUGCAGCGACGCCGCGUGAGGGAUGACGGCCUUCGGGUUGUAAACCUCUUUCGCCAGGGACGAAGCGCAAGUGACGGUACCUGGAGAAGAAGGACCGGCCAACUACGUGCCAGCAGCCGCGGUAAUACGUAGGGUCCGAGCGUUGUCCGGAAUUACUGGGCGUAAAGAGCUCGUAGGUGGUUUGUCGCGUUGUCCGUGAAAACUCACAGCUCAACUGUGGGCGUGCGGGCGAUACGGGCAGACUGGAGUACUGCAGGGGAGACUGGAAUUCCUGGUGUAGCGGUGGAAUGCGCAGAUAUCAGGAGGAACACCGGUGGCGAAGGCGGGUCUCUGGGCAGUAACUGACGCUGAGGAGCGAAAGCGUGGGGAGCGAACAG